rnacentral:tRNA from 1 species
GGGCCUGUAGCGCAGCCUGGAUAGCGCACCUGCCUCCUAAGCAGGGGGUCGGGAGUUCGAAUCUCCCCAGGCCCG